rnacentral:lncRNA from 1 species
CAGGGUGCUUUACACAUCCUCUGACCCAUUAAAAUCAAUCUGAUUCAUUUUCCAUUACAAAAGGUAUGAAGUGGAAGAAACUGCUGAAAAGGUGAAUGAGAGCAAAGAAAGAUGUAUAAAAGAGUUUAUCAUCAUAAAAGGGUGCUUGGACUUAAACCCAAGGAAAGAAAGCAGUAUGCAGAGGUAAAACUGUAUUUACCAGAGAAAAAAAAUCCUUGAGGCAGAAGGAGCAUGUUUUUUGCUACAGUAACUGAAGCCUGUGCUCUUAGCCUUUGAACAUAUGUGCAUCCUUAUUUUCAUAUAACCAAAUAAAAAAAUGCUGCAUGUAAGUGAAGAAAUAUUA